rnacentral:rRNA from 1 species
AGAGAUGUGUGAUGACGCAUAUCAAUAAGCGGAGGAAAAGAAACUAACAAGGAUUCCCCUUAGUAACGGCGAGUGAAGCGGGAAGAGCUCAAAUUUGAAAUCUUCAAGGUUCUACCUUGACGAAUUGUAGUUUAUAGAAGUGUUUUCUGUUAGUAGAGUGGCAAAAGUUCUUUGGAAUAGGACAUCAUAGAGGGUGAGAAUCCCGUAUUUGGUCAUUCUUUCUAGCUUUGUGAUACACUUUCAACGAGUCGGAUUGUUUGGGAAUGCAGUCCAAAAUGGGUGGUAAAUUUCAUCUAAAGCUAAAUAUUGGCGAGAGACCGAUAGCGAACAAGUACCGUGAGGGAAAGAUGAAAAGAACUUUGAAAAGAGAGUUAAACAGUACGUGAAAUUGUCAAAAGGGAAGCGUUUGACACCAGUGUUGUUUUUCCGAAAAUCAAUUACGAAUGUUUUAGUUUUGAGGAGUUAUGACUUCAUCGGCUUGCUUCUCUCUUUACUGAAACUUUCUUAAUGCACUUUUCGGUUAACAAGUCAACAUCAAUUUCUUUUGUUGUAAAAGGGUAUGAGGAAGGUGGCUUUCUUUUCGGAGAAAGUGUUUAUAGCCUUGUACCUCUGCAAUCGGAGAGAUUGAGGUCUGCAGCGUAGAUCCUUCGGGGUUAGAUACAUUUGUGCUAAGUUAUAGCUUUUCAUAGACAACUUGUUGAUUAUGUUAGUCUUGUAGCUUACUCGCUUAUGCUAUUUUACCUACGCUUAGGAUGUUGAAGUCAUCGUAUCGCGC